GGGGAUGUAGCUCAGUGGUUAGAGCAGUCGGCUCAUAACCGAUUGGUCGUAGGUUCAAUUCCUACCAUCCCCA
rnacentral:tRNA from 1 species